GAAGAAGUAGAAAGUGAAAAUAGUUCUUGCUUUUUGUUUCUAAGUGGUUCAUAAUAGCGGGCUACACUACUGAGAAGUGAAGUGGUUUUGUAGUGAGUUUGAAGGGAAUUUUUGAAGUGAGUGAGAAAAGAAAUUUUCGAGCUGUUGCAAAAAAGCCUUGACAACAAAAACCAGAUGCUUCAUAAUCUCGUUUCUCUGCUGAUGACACACAACAGUGUGACAGCGGCAAGAUAAGAGAAAGUAGUAAAGCAGUACAGAAUUUAGCGGUAUGCGAUUCUUACUAUAACUAGUAUGAACGCCGAAUGUGACAGCGCAAUGUCACCGCUUACUCCAGUGGGAGCUAAGAAGAAAUGUUCUUUAACAACUAACAGCCGAUAAGUGUGGGCGCUUGGAAUGAGUGCGCAACAUGGUCUAUCCGGGGGUACCUGGUUAGAUUGUGAUGCUAACAAUAUAUAUUUUAGGCGCUCACUUGAAAUACAGAAGUAAGGUUUAUAUCACUAUAAACGUUAUUUCUUUUGAGUGAAGCAGCGACCAUUUACCUAUUUAAACAGUUAAAUGGCAAUUAAACAGAGAUUAAACUGAAGAGUUUGAUCCUGGCUCAGAUUGAACGCUAGCGGGAUGCCUUACACAUGCAAGUCGAACGGCAGCGGGAAAGUAGCUUGCUACUUUUGCCGGCGAGUGGCGAACGGGUGAGUAAUGUAUCGGAACGUGCCCAGUAGCGGGGGAUAACUACGCGAAAGCGUGGCUAAUACCGCAUACGCCCUACGGGGGAAAGGGGGGGAUCUUAGGACCUCUCACUAUUGGAGCGGCCGAUAUCGGAUUAGCUAGUUGGUGGGGUAAAGGCCUACCAAGGCGACGAUCCGUAGCUGGUUUGAGAGGACGACCAGCCACACUGGGACUGAGACACGGCCCAGACUCCUACGGGAGGCAGCAGUGGGGAAUUUUGGACAAUGGGGGAAACCCUGAUCCAGCCAUCCCGCGUGUGCGAUGAAGGCCUUCGGGUUGUAAAGCACUUUUGUCAGGGAAGAAAAGGUUUCGGAUAAUACCCGGAACUGAUGACGGUACCUGAAGAAUAAGCACCGGCUAACUACGUGCCAGCAGCCGCGGUAAUACGUAGGGUGCAAGCGUUAAUCGGAAUUACUGGGCGUAAAGCGUGCGCAGGCGGUUCGGAAAGAAAGAUGUGAAAUCCCAGGGCUCAACCUUGGAACUGCAUUUUUAACUACCGAACUAGAGUAUGUCAGAGGGGGGUGGAAUUCCACGUGUAGCAGUGAAAUGCGUAGAUAUGUGGAGGAACACCGAUGGCGAAGGCAGCCCCCUGGGAUAAUACUGACGCUCAUGCACGAAAGCGUGGGGAGCAAACAGGAUUAGAUACCCUGGUAGUCCACGCCCUAAACGAUGUCAACUAGCUGUUGGGCCCUUCGGGGCUUAGUAGCGCAGCUAACGCGUGAAGUUGACCGCCUGGGGAGUACGGUCGCAAGAUUAAAACUCAAAGGAAUUGACGGGGACCCGCACAAGCGGUGGAUGAUGUGGAUUAAUUCGAUGCAACGCGAAAAACCUUACCUACCCUUGACAUGUCUGGAAUCCUGAAGAGAUUUAGGAGUGCUCGCAAGAGAACCGGAACACAGGUGCUGCAUGGCUGUCGUCAGCUCGUGUCGUGAGAUGUUGGGUUAAGUCCCGCAACGAGCGCAACCCUUGUCAUUAGUUGCUACAUUUAGUUGAGCACUCUAAUGAGACUGCCGGUGACAAACCGGAGGAAGGUGGGGAUGACGUCAAGUCCUCAUGGCCCUUAUGGGUAGGGCUUCACACGUCAUACAAUGGUCGGGACAGAGGGUUGCCAAACCGCAAGGUGGAGCUAAUCUCAUAAACCCGAUCGUAGUCCGGAUUGCAGGCUGCAACUCGCCUGCAUGAAGUCGGAAUCGCUAGUAAUCGCGGAUCAGCAUGUCGCGGUGAAUACGUUCCCGGGUCUUGUACACACCGCCCGUCACACCAUGGGAGUGGGUUUUACCAGAAGUAGUUAGCCUAACCGCAAGGGGGGCGAUUACCACGGUAGGAUUCAUGACUGGGGUGAAGUCGUAACAAGGUAGCCGUAUCGGAAGGUGCGGCUGGAUCACCUCCUUUA
rnacentral:rRNA from 1 species